AGAUUGAACGCUAGCGGGAUGCUUUACACAUGCAAGUCGAACGGCAGCGCGGACUUCGGUCUGGCGGCGAGUGGCGAACGGGUGAGUAAUAUAUCGGAACGUGCCCAGUCGUGGGGGAUAACGUAGAGAAAUUUACGCUAAUACCGCAUACGAUCUAAGGAUGAAAGCGGGGGACCGUAAGGCCUCGCGCGAUUGGAGCGGCCGAUAUCAGAUUAGGUUGUUGGUGAGGUAAAAGCUCACCAAGCCGACGAUCUGUAGCUGGUUUGAGAGAACGACCAGCCACACUGGGACUGAGACACGGCCCAGACUCCUACGGGAGGCAGCAGUGGGGAAUUUGGACAAUGGGCGAAAGCCUGAUCCAGCAAUGCCGCGUGCAGGAAGAAGGCCUUCGGGUUGUAAACUGUCGUUUGUACGGAACGAAACGGUCUAGCUUUAAUACAGUGGCUUAAGUGUACGGUACCGUAAGAAUAAGACACCGACUAACUACGUGACCAGCAGCCGACGGUAAUC
rnacentral:rRNA from 1 species